CCUACGGGAGGCAGCAGUGGGGAAUCUUGCGCAAUGGGCGAAAGCCUGACGCAGCCAUGCCGCGUGAAUGAUGAAGGUCUUAGGAUUGUAAAAUUCUUUCACCGGGGACGAUAAUGACGGUACCCGGAGAAGAAGCCCCGGCUAACUUCGUGCCAGCAGCCGCGGUAAUACGAAGGGGGCUAGCGUUGCUCGGAAUUACUGGGCGUAAAGGGAGCGUAGGCGGACAUUUAAGUCAGGGGUGAAAUCCCAGAGCUCAACUCUGGAACUGCCUUUGAUACUGGGUGUCUUGAGUGUGAUAGAGGUAUGUGGAACUCCGAGUGUAGAGGUGAAAUUCGUAGAUAUUCGGAAGAACACCAGUGGCGAAGGCGACAUACUGGAUCAUUACUGACGCUGAGGCUCGAAAGCGUGGGGAGCAAACAGGAUUAAGAUACCCUGGUAGUCCACGCCGUAAACGAUGAUUGCUAGUUGUUGGGAUGUUUACAUCUCGGUGACGCAGCUAACGCAUUAAGCAAUCCGCCUGGGGAGUACGGUCGCAAGAUUAAAAACUUAAAGGAAAUUGACGG
rnacentral:rRNA from 1 species